GUCAGUUGCAUUUCAAACAUUGUGGUGGUCGGAUGUACUCGCUCCAACACAGUGACACUCCAUGUACAAGUUAUUCUGGCCCUGGUCACACCGACCCAUAGUUCUUCCGCCCUUGGUGAUUCCGGCCUGCCUUGUAAAUAACUCUGACUCCCCAAGGUAGACUGAAUCUACUGCAAGGCAUCAUGGACCGGUUUCAUACAUAUGCAUCUCUGGUUGGCUGGCAUAAGCAUGAUCCUGUGAGCUAGUGUUACUCCUGGCAACUACUUUUGACUAGUUCUUCCUGUGAAACAGCUGUCUUUCAAAGAUGCCGAGGUCAUGCUGUGUGCCAGGAUGCAAGUCCAACUAUAAA